CCUACGGGUGGCAGCAGUGGGGAAUAUUGGACAAUGGGCGAAAGCCUGAUCCAGCCAUGCCGCGUGUGUGAAGAAGGCCUUCGGGUUGUAAAGCACUUUCAGUGGGGAAGAAAGCCUUGGGGCUAAUACCCUCGAGGAAGGACAUCACCCACAGAAGAAGCACCGGCUAACUCCGUGCCAGCAGCCGCGGUAAUACGGAGGGUGCGAGCGUUAAUCGGAAUUACUGGGCGUAAAGCGCGCGUAGGCGGUCUGAUAAGCCGGUUGUGAAAGCCCCGGGCUCAACCUGGGAACGGCAUCCGGAACUGUCAGGCUAGAGUGCAGGAGAGGAAGGUAGAAUCCCCGGUGUAGCGGUGAAAUGGGUAGAGAUCGGGAGGAAUACCAGUGGCGAAGGCGGCCUUCUGGACUGACACUGACGCUGAGGUGCGAAAGCGUGGGUAGCAAACAGGAUUAGAUACCUGGUAGUC
rnacentral:rRNA from 1 species